ACUCAAAGGAAUUGACGGGGGCCCGCACAAGCAGCGGAGCGUGUGGUUUAAUUCGACGCAACGCGCACAACCUUACCCAGACUUGACAUGGAGCUGCAGACUGGUGAAAGCCAGCCGCCUUCGAGGGUGCUCCACAGAUGCUGCAUGGCUGUCGUCAGCUCGUGUCGUGAGAUGUUGGGUUAAGUCCCGCAACGAGCGCAACCCCCGCGGCCAGUUAGAUCUGUCUGGCCGGACCGCCCUUCGGGGAGGAAGGUGGGGAUGAUGUCAAGUCCGCAUGGCUCUUACGUCUGGGGCGACACACACGCUACAAUGGCGCCGACAGUGCGCAGCGACCCGGUAACGGGGAGCGAAUCGCCAAACGGCGCCCCAGUGCAGAUCGGGGGCUGCAACUCGCCCCCGUGAAGGCGGAGUUGCUAGUAACCGCGCAUCAGGACUGGCGCGGUGAAUACGUACCCGGGCCUUGUACACACCGCCCGU
rnacentral:rRNA from 1 species